rnacentral:rRNA from 1 species
UACGGGGGGAGCAAGCGUUGUUCGGAUUUACUGGGCGUAAAGGGCGCGUAGGCGGCUUGUCGCGUCGACUGUGAAAACCCGCGGCUCAACCGCGGGCCUGCAGCCGAUACGGGCAGGCUAGAGUUCGGUAGGGGAGACUGGAAUUCCUGGUGUAGCGGUGAAAUGCGCAGAUAUCAGGAGGAACACCGAUGGCGAAGGCAGGUCUCUGGGCCGAUACUGACGCUGAGGAGCGAAAGCGUGGGGAGCGAACAGG